GCGUGCGACCCCAGGUCUAUUUAUCUAUUUUUAUCUGUAUUUCGAUCUAUUUACUUUAUAUAGGCCAGGCUAGAAUAAUUUAAUUUAGUGUCUUUUCUUCUUGCAUAGGUCAGUGCUGUGUGUUUGUAGUUUCCGCUAUUAGUAACUUCUGCUAGUUUUAGUCUUUUUCUGUUAUUUGUGUUUUACUCGUAGAGGAAAAGUAGUUUUAAAAAUAGUUAACUAGCCUUAGAGUUGUUGGCUCUGUUUCCAUUUCUUUGUCCCUGAUUAGUUCUAUGUAUUUUUGUCUUUAGCGCUUAGGUUAGGUUAGUAGUUAUUUUCUAAUUUCAGUCUAAGUGUAAGUCUAGAGGCUGUGUAGGGUCCCUGUAUGAGUUUAGAACAUAAAUAUCUUUCUUCUUCCUUUUAGUAUUUUUGUAAGAUUUAAUUUUUAAGAUUCUCCUUUUUAUGCUGUUUAAUUUGGUAUAUAAUGUUGUGUAGUCCGUGUCUUUAGUAAUUUUCUAGAUUUUAUUAUAGCGUACGGCUAGGUACAAAUUAGGCGAAUCAGUAGUCCAGUUUAGUUUUAAGUAAUUAGCGUGACGUCAUGCUCUCCGAUAUGUUCGCACUGACCAGUUAUAGCUAGCUCCAGAACCACGUUGAGCCCUCUUUUGUCUUGACCAGUGGUCAGUGCUGACAGUGGUGCAGGUGUAGAGUUAAUUGUGUGUAGUGUAAUUUCAGCUGGGACCGCCUGUAAGUUGGAAAAUGUUUUUAUUUUAUUUCUUUAGUUUGUAUUUGUAUUAGUUAUUCCUACAUCUACUGUUAUAGUCUAGAUGUGGACUGAUUGGUGUAGUGGCAUCACUGGCUAGUUAAUUAGCCAUGAUUAUCUAUGAUGGAACCGGAAGGUCCAUUAAGCUGGAUAGCGUCACCCCUUCCUUUCCCCCCCCCAGCUAUCCCUAAUAAUCCCCUUAUUGUUUUUCUAUACUAUGUCUAUUUGUAAAUAUUUUAUUAUCUUAUAUUCUUAUGUAUGUUUAUUUUAUUAGUGAUUCUUUUUGGUAGUUUCUGAAGCGUAGUUGGCAGAUAAUAUUAUUUUUAAUUUUGUUGUACUUUUAUGUACAAGAUGGCGGCUGGCAUAAGCCGGCUCAUUAACCUAGAUAGUAGAUCUAAUGUGUAUUGUUGUGACUUUUAUCUGAUGUUAUCUAGAUCUGUUUAUUGUCUACCCAGCCUGUGUGGGUUGUGGCGUAGACUUGACCUAAAUUCUGUGGCUUUUAUUAGCUACAUGGAGGCUAAUUACUAAUAUGUAAUUACCUCAUGUCUCUAGGCUAUCCUUACUGUUGUUAGUUUACUGCAGUACUGCUGUCGUUAAGUCUGCUGUUGUUAGUCUACUGCCUGUAGGCUGUUGUUAGUCUACUGCAGUACUGCUGUCGUUAAGUCUGCUGUUGUUAGUCUACUGCCUGUAGGCUGUUGUUAGUCUACUGCCUGUAGGCUGUUGUUAGUCUACUGUCAUUAGUCUGCCAUCGCCUCCCUGUACCUUUUUUUGUUAUAUUUUAUUAAUUCUAAGCUUAGGUCUAUGGUAGUAAUAGUUAGAUAGUUGGUUUGGUUAGUCUGUUAGUGUUUGUAGAUUUAGAGGGUUUUAGUUAGAUGCUGAGUUCAGUUGUAGUGUUAGUGUAGCUCUAUAUGUUAUAUUUUAUUAUUGAUUUAUUUGUGUAUGUAAAUAAAGUUUCUUUUUGUUUUAUUUAUCCUAAAGUAAAA